AACCUGGUUGAUCCUGCCAGUAGUCAUAUGCUUGUCUCAAAGACUAAGCCAUGCAUGUCUAAGUAUAAACGCUUCUAUACUGUGAAACUGCGAAUGGCUCAUUAAAUCAGUUAUAGUUUAUUUGAUGGUUUCUUACUACUUGGAUAACCGUGGUAAUUCUAGAGCUAAUACAUGCACAAAGUCCCGACUCUUCGGAAGGGAUGUAUUUAUUAGAUCCAAAACCAAUGCGAGUCUCUCGGGGCUCGGUUUCUUGGUGAUUCAUGAUAACUGCUCGAACCGUAUGGCCCUUGCGCCGACGGUGCUUCAUUCAAAUUUCUGCCCUAUCAACUUUCGAUGGUACGGUAGUGGCCUACCAUGGUUGCAACGGGUGACGGAGAAUUAGGGUUCGAUUCCGGAGAGGGAGCCUGAGAAACGGCUACCACAUCCAAGGAAGGCAGCAGGCGCGCAAAUUACCCAAUCCCGACUCGGGGAGGUAGUGACAAUAAAUAACAAUGCCGGGCUAUUGUAGUCUGGCAAUUGGAAUGAGUACAAUCUAAAUCCCUUAACGAGGAACAAUUGGAGGGCAAGUCUGGUGCCAGCAGCCGCGGUAAUUCCAGCUCCAAUAGCGUAUAUUAAAGUUGUUGCAGUUAAAAAGCUCGUAGUUGGAUUUCGGGGUGGCCUGCCUGGUCCACCGCAAGGUGAGUACUGGUCAGCCGCCCUUCCUCUCGAAAGCCCCGACUGCUCUUCACUGCAGUGGUCGGGGUAGUUCGGGACGUUUACUUUGAAAAAAUUAGAGUGUUCAAGGCAGGCUAUCGCCUGAAUACAUUAGCAUGGAAUAAUGGAAGAGGACCUCGGUCCUAUUUUGUUGGUUUCUAGGGCCGAAGUAAUGAUUAAGAGGGACAGUUGGGGGCAUUCGUAUUUAAUUGUCAGAGGUGAAUUCUUGGAUUUAUGAAAGACGAACUAGUGCGAAAG
rnacentral:rRNA from 1 species